GACGAACGCUGGCGGCGUGCCUAAUACAUGCAAGUCGAACGCAGUGGGGACGGGGUAGUAACACGUGGGUAACCUCCCAUCAGAGGGGAUAACACUUGAAAACAGGUGCUAAACCGUUACUUAUGGCUGGUCCAGCGGUGCAUUAGCUAGUUGGUGGGGUAACGGCUCACCAAGGCCACGACGCAUAGCGGACCUGGGAGGGGGAUCGUCCACACUGGGACGGGGACACGGCCCAGAGUCCUACGGGAGGAAGAAGUAGGGAACCUUCGGCAAUGGACGAAAGUCUGACCGAGAAACGCCGCGUGAGUGAAGAAGGUUUUCGGAUCGUAAAACUCUGUUGUUAGAGAAGCGGUAUCUAACCAGAAAGCCACGGCUAACUACGUGCCAGCAGCCGCGGUAAUUC
rnacentral:rRNA from 1 species